rnacentral:lncRNA from 1 species
GUGCCUUGGAAACUUGAGUCCAACUUUCUGCUGUGUCACUAACUCUAUGUCCUUGGGCAAGCCAUUUAGGUUCUUGCUAUUUCAACUGUAGAAAAGUAUUAGAAAUUCUUCCCUUCCCUACUUCCCUGGCCACCACUUUCCUUUAACAAAUAUGAAUUAGGCAUCUAGGCCUAAUAGAAACAGAUAAAACCCCUCCAUGAUGGCGUCAUUGAACUCAUCUCUGGUGAGGCACAGAUCUGUUCAAUAGACAAGCGCAGAAUUCCGCUGGUGAGGGGUCUCCAUGGAGAGGUUCUGGUGCGCAUGCGUCUAACGGUGCGAUUCGACCUCGUCAGAGAGGCCAGCGAAUGUUUCUGAUGAAGCCAGAACAGACGCAGCAGAGAUCUGAAGGACAAGGAGGCAUCACUGGAUGUCUAUUUUGGAUGGGCCUUAUGAAAGAGAAUCAGAAAAGAUUCCAUCAGAGAAUGAACCAGCAAUCAAGUAAAAGGAGGUUUCGUUUCCUGAAUCGUCUCUAGCGCGUGAGGUUGUGCCCUCAUCUGGAACUGCUGAGUUCUUAUGAACACCAACACUGAGUCACGGGAGAGCCCAGGACUUCUGCCCACCUGGGGAGUGCAGGGCCUCUGACACAAACCAGAUAAGGGGUCUGUCAGACCAGAGACCUGCCCCAGAGCCAAGAUGCUGCUUCUUUGCUCUGGAUUCAGCCUCACAAAUGAGCAGAGGCAGCAGGUACUCAGCCCAGAGAAACAGUGCCCAAAGAAAAGAAACAGAAAACCCAACUGAGGACAGCAACUUGUGCCAGCAAAGGCAUGGCCCAUGCAACACUGCCUUCUGUGCAGGAGGCCUGGAGCCUGGAGCCUUGGCAGCAUCUGUGUUGCUGUGUGUAUUGGGCAGGGGAGAGCGGGGUAUACGUCACAGUGGUCGUGGCUCUGUUUUCACUCCUCUCCUCGCCCCAACUCUCCUCGCACUGACCGCAAGAAGAGGCGGCGUUAGGUUACCAGGGGCUGCUGGCCCCAUUGAAUUCUCCUGUCCACCCUUAGGAGCCAGUCAUUCCUCCAGGCAUUGUUAUGGCUCCCAGGAGCUCAGGAGGAGCCUGGUGCCACUCAGACCCUGCCUCAGAUCCUGACGCAGGGCCUCCUUGCAUCUUCUUAAGUCAUUUCAAAGAAACUCUAGGUCUCUCAAGAGUGGUCCUGGAAAAAAGACUAUGUCACUUAUUGUUUUUUGUGACUAAAAGUAAUAGAUAUUUACUGCAGAGAAAUUUGGAAAAUAUAGACAUGUGUAAAGAAGAAAAUGUUCAGAGUGAUUUUAGACUCCGAUUCAUUCAGGAAACAAUUAUUUAAUUCUGCAACUACUACGUGCCACGCUCUGUUCUCAGUGCUGGGGAGGCUGCUGUAAACGACACAAAGUGCCUGCCCUCGUGGAGCUUCUGUUCUAGCAGAGGAGACAGUCAGGAGGGCAGGGGAAGGGGCGGAGGCUGAGGGAACAGGGCCCCAUCUUUGUUAGGUGGUCAGGAGGAGUGGAAGCAAGCGAGGGGUGUAUCUGGGAAGAGCGUUUCAGACCGAAGGAGCAGGAGCACCUCGGGGUUGGGGGAGAGCCUGCCCGGUGUCUUCAGGGACGUGAAGAAGGCCAGGGUGGCUGGUCAGCAGAUGAGCAAGGGGGAGUGUGGAAGGAGAUCAGUCAGGGGCUGCCCACGAGGACACGUGGGGACUUGUAGGCCGGGUGAGGAUCUCGGAUAGUGAGUGCAAUGGAAAUCCAACGUGGGCUUUCGAAAUGGAGAGUGACCUCAUUGACCUUAGGUUUUGAAAUAAUCAUUCUGG